AACGAACGCUGGCGGCAGGCUUAACACAUGCAAGUCGAACGCCCCGCAAGGGGAGUGGCAGACGGGUGAGUAACGCGUGGGAAUCUACCCUGAUCUGCGGGAUAGCUCCGGGAAACUGGAAUUAAUACCGCAUAUGUCCUGAGGGACAAAGAUUUAUCGGUUCAGGAUGAGCCCGCGUCCGAUUAGCUAGUUGGUGGGGUAAAGGCCUACCAAGGCGACGAUCGGUAGCUGGUCUAAGAGGAUGAUCAGCCACAUUGGGACUGAGACACGGCCCAAACUCCUACGGGAGGCAGCAGUGGGGAAUAUUGGACAAUGGGCGCAAGCCUGAUCCAGCCAUGCCGCGUGAGUGAUGAAGGUCUUAGGAUUGUAAAGCUCUUUCACCGGGGACGAUAAUGACGGUACCCGGAGAAGAAGCCCCGGCUAACUUCGUGCCAGCCGCCGCGGUAACAC
rnacentral:rRNA from 1 species